CCCUCAAGCCCCCGGGCUUGGUGUUGGGGAUCGGCCUGUCCCUCCGGGGCGCGCCGGCCCCGAAAUCUAGUGGCGGUCUGGCUGUAGCCUCCCCUGCGUAGUAGCACACCUCGCACCGGAACGCAGCCUGGCCACGCCGUUAAACCCCCCCACUUCUGAAGGUUGACCUCGGAUCAGGUAGGAAUACCCGCUGAACUUAA
rnacentral:misc_RNA from 1 species